rnacentral:rRNA from 1 species
UUGACGGGGACCCGCACAAGCGGUGGAGCAUGUGGUUUAAUUCGAAGCAACGCGAAGAACCUUACCAAAUCUUGACAUCCUUUGACAACUCUAGAGAUAGAGCCUUCCCCUUCGGGGGACAAAGUGACAGGUGGUGCAUGGUUGUCGUCAGCUCGUGUCGUGAGAUGUUGGGUUAAGUCCCGCAACGAGCGCAACCCUUAAGCUUAGUUGCCAUCAUUAAGUUGGGCACUCUAAGUUGACUGCCGGUGACAAACCGGAGGAAGGUGGGGAUGACGUCAAAUCAUCAUGCCCCUUAUGAUUUGGGCUACACACGUGCUACAAUGGACAAUACAAAGGGCAGCGAAACCGCGAGGUCAAGCAAAUCCCAUAAAGUUGUUCUCAGUUCGGAUUGUAGUCUGCAACUCGACUACAUGAAGCUGGAAUCGCUAGUAAUCGUAGAUCAGCAUG